CGGAAUUCCGCGCCGGGAAUCGCGGGGAAUGAAUGUCCGCGUGGGGAUCUCGGGGAAGAAAUGUCCAGGUGGGAUCAGACUGGGAAUAACUGGGAAUGUCCAGGUGGGAUCACGGUGGGAGUGAUGGGAACGUCCAGGUGGGAUCACGGUGGGAAUCACGGGAAUGUCCAGGUGGGAAUCGCUGGGAAUAAAUAUCCAGAUGGGAUCACGGUGGGAAUAAUUGGGAACAUCCAGGUGGAUCACACUGGGAAUCACAGGAACAUCCAGGUGGGAUCAGUCUGGGAAUCAGAGAGAACAUCCAGGUGGGAUCACACUGGGAAUCACGGGAACAUCCAGGUGGGAUCAGACUGGGAAUCACGGGAACAUCCAGGUGGGAUCAGUCUGGGAAUCAGAGAGAACAUCCAGGUGGGAUCACACUGGGAAUCACGGGAAUAUCCAGGUGGGAUCAAACUGGGAAUCAGGGAGAACAUCCAGGUGGGAUCAGACUGGGAAUCACAGGAACAUCCAGGUGGGAUCACACUGGGAAUCAGGGGAACAUCUAGGUGGGAUCACACUGGGAAUCACGGGAACAUCCAGGUGGGAUCCCACUGGGAAUCAGAGAGAACAUCCAGGUGGGAUCCCACUGGGAAUCAGGGGAACAUCCAGGUGGGAUCAUGGUGGGAAUCAGGGGAACAUCCAGGUGGGAUCCCACUGGGAAUCACGGGAACAUCCAGGUGGGAUCAGACUGGGAAUCAGAGAGAACAUCCAGGUGGGACGAGGAACAUCCAGGUGGGAUCAUGGUGGGAAUCAGGGGAACAUCCAGGUGGGAUCAGAGUGGGAAUCACAGGAACAUCCAGGUGUGAUCACACUGGGAAUCAGGGGAACAUCCAGGUGGGAUCACAAACAUCCAGGUGUGAUCACACUGGGAAUCAGGGGAACAUCCAGGUGGGAUCACACUGGGAAUCACGGGAAUAUCCAGGUGUGAUCAAACUGGGAAUCAGGGGAAUAUCCAGGUGGGAUCACACUGGGAAUCACGGGAACAUCCAGGUGGGAUCAGUCUGGGAAUCAGAGAGAACAUCCAGGUGGGAUCACACUGGGAAUCACGGGAAUAUCCAGGUGGGAUCAAACUGGGAAUCAGGGAGAACAUCCAGGUGGGAUCACACUGGGAAUCACGGGAAUAUCCAGGUGUGAUCAAACUGGGAAUCAGGGGAAUAUCCAGGUGGGAUCACACUGGGAAUCACGGGAACAUCCAGGUGGGAUCAGUCUGGGAAUCAGAGAGAACAUCCAGGUGGGAUCACACUGGGAAUCACGGGAAUAUCCAGGUGGGAUCAAACUGGGAAUCAGGGAGAACAUCCAGGUGGGAUCACAGUGGGAAUCAUGGGAAUGUCCAAGUGGGACAGGGAACAUCCAGGUGGGAUCAGACUGGGAAUCAGGGAGAGCAUCCAGGUGGGAUCAGACUGGGAAUCACAGGAACAUCCAGGUGGGAUCAGACUGGGAAUCACAGGAACGUCCAGGUGGGAUCAUACUGGGAAUCAGGGAGAACAUCCAGGUGUGAUCACAUUGGGAAUCAGGGAGAACAUCCAGGUGGGAUCAGACUGGGAAUCAGGGAGAACAUCCAGGUGGGACAAGGAACAUCCAGGUGGGAUCCCACUGGGAAUCAGGGAGAGCAUCCAGGUGGGACGAGGAACAUCCAGGUGGGAUCCCUGGGACCCACCGGGACAUUCCCAUCGUGCGAUCCCGGGUUUU